AUAUCAGUAAGCAGAGGAAAAGAAAUUAACUAAGAUUGCCUUAGUAGCGGCGAGCGAACUGGCAAAAGCUCAAACUUAAAAUCUGGGGCCUUCGGCUCCCGAAUUGUAAUCUAAAGAGUAUGACAAAAGGUGGGAUGGAGGAAUAAGUUCCUUGGAACAGGACACCAAAGAGGGUGACAGUCCCGUAUUGGUCCUCCUGAAAGCCGAAUGUCUAAGCUCAUUGAGUCGGGUUGUUUGGGAUUGCAGCCCUAAAUGGGAGAUAAACUUCUUCUAAGGCUAAAUAUCUAUGGGAGACCGAUAGCGCACAAGUA
rnacentral:rRNA from 1 species